GAUCAUGGCUCAGGAUGAACGCUAGCUACAGGCUUAACACAUGCAAGUCGAGGGGCAUCAGGAAGAAAGCUUGCUUUCUUUGCUGGCGACCGGCGCACGGGUGAGUAACACGUAUCCAACCUGCCCUUUACUCGGGGAUAGCCUUUCGAAAGAAAGAUUAAUACCCGAUGGCAUAAUGAUUCCGCAUGGUUUCAUUAUUAAAGGAUUCCGGUAAGGAUGGGGAUGCGUUCCACUAGGUUGUUGGUGG
rnacentral:rRNA from 1 species